rnacentral:lncRNA from 1 species
CGGCAAAAAGCAGAAUUUAGGAGCGUUUCGGUGACUGUGGCAAUUGAAACCACUGUAAACCUUAAAAGUGAGUCAGGGACUGGAUCUCAGCCUUGGCUUUAGAAAUUUACCACCUUAUUCUUUUCACGUAGCUUUUUGCCUUCAGUGCACCCUGACCAUAUGUGGAUGUCUGCUUUGUGACGUGAGGAAGUUGGGUGCCUCUCUGCUGCCUGCAAAGAAGGCCCUGUGGGACUAGCUCAGGUUUAAAUGGGGCUAAUAAAAGAAGUCUCCACAGUUGUGCACAAAUAGUAUAAGAUGGGGUGCAAAACCUGUGCUCCCCCAGCUCUGGUUCAGUGACAAGAGGACAAUCACACAGGUGACAGAAGCGUGCCAGCAUGAUAUGAAGGAACAUUGGCUCUGGUCUACCGAGAGCUUUGUAAAUGCCUAGUGAUCUGCUUAGGGCAAGUCAUGUGCAAGCACCUGAGAACUUGCUACGCUUCAGGCAUCGGAACACAUCAAGUUCACUGCUGAACAUGGAUUUCAUCGACCAAUCAUUAUACUCCCUAAGUCAUGAGGACUGUGCAGGGGAGAGGAAGCAUCCAAACGUUAAUGGCUAUUGAAACAUCCACUGGGACACAAGAACUCAGGGAGUUGACUGGGAGAUGCUCACACUUUGCAAGGUUAGGGGAAUUGACAGUCCUGCCCCCAAAGCAGCUGUUUCCUGCAAUGUUAACCGAAUCAUCGGAACCUCCCAGUUUUGGGGAGACAGGUUGGAAAGUUUGGAGGAAAGAUCUUUCUGCUGACAUCUCAGGCGCUUUCACUCUGGACUGCAGCUACAUCACUGACAAUUUUACUUCCACAGUUCUUGUGAUGGUCCCUGUUGGUAAGCACAAGUGAGUAAAAUCCCUUACUCCCUCUUUAUUUUAUUACUAUUCAAAUGAAUCAGGGACCUGAAAGUUACCUCUCAG